rnacentral:rRNA from 1 species
UGAAUGGCUCAGUGAGGCCUUCGGACUGGCUCGAGGAGGUUGGCAACGACCACCUCAAGCCGGAAAGUUCGUCAAACUCGGUCAUUUAGAGGAAGUAAAAGUCGUAACAAGGUCUCCGUAGGUGAACCUGCGGAGGGAUCAUUACACAAAUAUGAAGGCGGGCUGCAACCUCUCGGGAUUGCAGUCUCGCUGAAUUAUUCACCCGUGUCUUUUGCGUACUUCUUGUUUCCUGGGUGGGCUCGCCCACCACCAGGACAAAACUAUAAACCUUUUGUAAUGGCAAUCAGCGUCAGUAACAAUAUAAUCAUUUACAACUUUCAACAACGGAUCUCUUGGUUCUGGCAUCGAUGAAGAACGCAGCGAAAUGCGAUAAGUAGUGUGAAUUGCAGAAUUCAGUGAAUCAUCGAAUCUUUGAACGCACAUUGCGCCCUUUGGCAUUCCAAAGGGCAUGCCUGUUCGAGCGUCAUUUGUACCCUCAAGCUUUGCUUGGUGUUGGGCGUCUUUGUCUCUGGCUUUGCUGGAGACUCGCCUUAAAGGAAUUGGCAGCCGGCCUACUGGUUUCGGAGCGCAGCACAAGUCGCACUCUCUUCCAGCCAAGGUCUGGCAUCCAUGAAGCCUGUUUUUUAACCUUUGACCUCGGAU